rnacentral:lncRNA from 1 species
UAUUGAUUUACAAUCACCCAGCUUAUGGAUCUGCAAUCACCAGCUCACUGAUUCAUAAUAACCAGCUUAUUGAUUUGCAAUCACCAGCGUAUUGAUCGAUUCGCAAUCCCCAUCCGGCCGCUCCCACCGCAGCCCCAUCCCAGCCGGGGCGGGCGCCAAGCCCGCGGCUCACCGGGCGCCGCUUGCGACACCGGGGCAGAUCCGGCCGGGCCCAUCCUGUCCCCUCCCAGCAGAGCCAGCAGCACUGUCUGUGUGUCUGUCCGUCCGUCUGUCUCGCACAGCCAUGGGCCCGGCACUCGCGGCCGUCCUGGCGCUGGCUGCGCUGCUCCCCGCGGAUGCGCUGCCCUGCGGAGCGCAGCGCCCGGACAGCGACACGGCAUCCAAGCUGCCCGGGACCUGGCUGUACGUGGCAGGGGCUGCCCAGUUCCCCCAGCACCAGGUGGAGAUGCUGCUCAUCGACCACGCCUUGCUGCGCCUGGAGCCGGGGCCCGGCGGGCAGGAGCUGCUCAUCAGCCACUUCGUGGCCGUAUCAAACAGGUUCAGACAAGUUUUGUCUUGCACGGAGGUCUCACGGGCACCAAGCCCUGCAGGCAAGGACAAGACCUUUCCACAAGUCCCUGUGCCAAGGCU